rnacentral:misc_RNA from 1 species
UCCGAGUUGUCCCCGGCAGUCCUCUUAGAGUCCCCGGCAUUACCCGCUGGCAACUAAGAGCAGGGGUUGCGCUCGUUGCGGCACUUAAGCCAACACCUCACGGCACGAGCUGACGACAGCCAUGCAGCACCUGUGCUAGCCCCUUACGGACACGGGCUUUCACCCGCUUUAACUAGCAUGUCAAGCCCAGGUAAGGUGGGGAUGACGUCGACGUCAUAACC